AUACUUACCUGGAAGGAGAGAUACCACGAUCAUGAAGGUGGUUUUCCCAGGGUUUGGUUUAACCAUUUCACUCUGGAUGUGCUGACCCCUGUGAGUCCCCAAAUGUGGGAGAUUCUUCUGCAUAAUUUGUGGUAGUGGGGGAUGGUGUUCAUGCUCUCCCCUG